GCCACCGUGGUGUAGUGGUUUGAGUGCUGGACUAUGAUUCUGGAGACCAGGGUUCGAUUUCUACUUUGGCC